rnacentral:rRNA from 1 species
AGUAGCGGCGAGUGAAGCGGCAAAAGCUCAAAUUUGAAAUCUUCGGAGUUGUAAUUUGUAGGACUAUCUUUGAAAAUGCUUGGGUUCCACUAAGUUCACUGGAACGGACGCCAGAGAGGGUGAUAGCCCCGUUUUGGGACCCGCUGUUUUCAAUACAAGAUAGAUCCGACGAGUCGAGUUGUUUGGGAAUGCAGCUCAAAGUGGGUGGUAAAUUCCAUCUAAAGCUAAAUAACGGCGAGAGACCGAUAGCGAACAAGUACAGUAAUGGAAAGAUGAAAAGCACUUUGAAAAGAGGGUGAAAAGGCGUGAAAUUGUUGAAAGGGAAGGGUUUGUGCGCAAACCACCCGUCUUGAAACACGGACCAAGGAGUCUAAUGUUUUUGCGAGUGCAAGGGUUUAUUAAACCUGGAGCGUAGUGAAGGCGAGCUUAACACCGAGCUUCGAGUAAGCAGAAACAUUGGGACCCGAAAGAUGGUGAACUAUGCCUGAGUAGGGUGAAGCCAGAGGA